rnacentral:rRNA from 1 species
ACGCUCGACACCUACGGAGGCAGCAGUCGGGAAUAUUGCGCAAUGGAGGAAACUCUGACGCAGUGACGCCGCGUAUAGGAAGAAGGUUUUCGGAUUGUAAACUAUUGUCGUUAGGGAAGAUACAAGACAGUACCUAAGGAGGAAGCACCGGCUAACUAUGUGCUAGCAGCCGCGGUAAUCUGAGCGGGCUGGCAAGGC